rnacentral:rRNA from 1 species
UUGAAGAGUUUGAUCAUGGCUCAGAUUGAACGCUGGCGGCAGGCCUAACACAUGCAAGUCGAGCGGUAGCACAGAGAGCUUGCUCUCGGGUGACGAGCGGCGGACGGGUGAGUAAUGUCUGGGAAACUGCCUGAUGGAGGGGGAUAACUACUGGAAACGGUAGCUAAUACCGCAUAAUGUCGCAAGACCAAAGUGGGGGACCUUCGGGCCUCAUGCCAUCAGAUGUGCCCAGAUGGGAUUAGCUAGUAGGUGGGGUAACGGCUCACCUAGGCGACGAUCCCUAGCUGGUCUGAGAGGAUGACCAGCCACACUGGAACUGAGACACGGUCCAGACUCCUACGGGAGGCAGCAGUGGGGAAUAUUGCACAAUGGGCGCAAGCCUGAUGCAGCCAUGCCGCGUGUGUGAAGAAGGCCUUCGGGUUGUAAAGCACUUUCAGCGGGGAGGAAGGCGGUGAGGUUAAUAACCUCAUCGAUUGACGUUACCCGCAGAAGAAGCACCGGCUAACUCCGUGCCAGCAGCCGCGGUAAUACGGAGGGUGCAAGCGUUAAUCGGAAUUACUGGGCGUAAAGCGCACGCAGGCGGUCUGUCAAGUCGGAUGUGAAAUCCCCGGGGCUCAACCUGGGAACUGCAUUCGAAACUGGCAGGCUAGAGUCUUGUAGAGGGGGGUAGAAUUCCAGGUGUAGCGGUGAAAUGCGUAGAGAUCUGGAGGAAUACCGGUGGCGAAGGCGGCCCCCUGGACAAAGACUGACGCUCAGGUGCGAAAGCGUGGGGAGCAAACAGGAUUAGAUACCCUGGUAGUCCACGCCGUAAACGAUGUCGAUUUGGAGGUUGUGCCCUUGAGGCGUGGCUUCCGGAGCUAACGCGUUAAAUCGACCGCCUGGGGAGUACGGCCGCAAGGUUAAAACUCAAAUGAAUUGACGGGGGCCCGCACAAGCGGUGGAGCAUGUGGUUUAAUUCGAUGCAACGCGAAGAACCUUACCUGGUCUUGACAUCCACAGAACUUUCCAGAGAUGGAUUGGUGCCUUCGGGAACUGUGAGACAGGUGCUGCAUGGCUGUCGUCAGCUCGUGUUGUGAAAUGUUGGGUUAAGUCCCGCAACGAGCGCAACCCUUAUCCUUUGUUGCCAGCGGUCCGGCCGGGAACUCAAAGGAGACUGCCAGUGAUAAACUGGAGGAAGGUGGGGAUGACGUCAAGUCAUCAUGGCCCUUACGACCAGGGCUACACACGUGCUACAAUGGCAUAUACAAAGAGAAGCGACCUCGCGAGAGCAAGCGGACCUCAUAAAGUAUGUCGUAGUCCGGAUUGGAGUCUGCAACUCGACUCCAUGAAGUCGGAAUCGCUAGUAAUCGUAGAUCAGAAUGCUACGGUGAAUACGUUCCCGGGCCUUGUACACACCGCCCGUCACACCAUGGGAGUGGGUUGCAAAAGAAGUAGGUAGCUUAACCUUCGGGAGGGCGCUUACCACUUUGUGAUUCAUGACUGGGGUGAAGUCGUAACAAGGUAACCGUAGGGGAACCUGCGGUUGGAUCACCUCCUU